UGCAACAAUUUUAAAGAUUGAGUCUCCGUCUGGAUAAGAGGACUAGAUCAGUGCAGCCCAGUUUAAAUAGUGGAGUCUUAUCAUUUUCUCUAACAUCCUUGUUGAAAAGGAUCUUCUCAACCACAUCUGCAUGAAGGGAGGCGGACGGAGGCAUUAAACUAAAUGCUGUGACUGGAGCCUGUCAGACUGAAUUGAGGGCAACUUACAGCCUGCUUCUGCUCCUCAUCCUAUCAGCCAGCAAAGAGGAAGAUGCUGUUGCAGCUGGGACCAUACCUGAGGAGCCGCAGUUCAGUCAGAAGCGUGGGGUUCUGCUGGGCUUUCUCCGGGGUCGGCUGAGAGGCCUGUUCAUGCUCCAGACGCAGCCUCUGGAUCUCCUGCAGGAUCUCCCUGAAUUAGUCAGACAAGCUCUGCGAUCAGCUGCCUCUGCUGCUUGUUGGCAUCAAAGUUGAAACUCAGAUCUGUUGGAGGACACUGUUGCUGAAAUUUAAAAAAAAGAUCAUAGAAAGGAAUUAACAACAGUGACAAAAGCCAAACACCAACAGCUUCCCUCUGACCACAGUGAGCAGUAAUGACUCUGCUGCAACAGGGAGUCAUUUUAGGUCACCACAGCUUUUCUUUAUCAUUCAUCAUACUGCAAAUAGAGGAUCCAUCAAACCCUAAACCCACAGUAACCCCACAUUAACACUUUCUGACUUGGAAUGACUUUUGUCAAUCCAAAAUAGUAUAUAAAGAUUUAUUGCAAGCCGAGUAAAAGUCCCAGUCGUUAAGAUUUUUGUGACUCCAAACCACAUUUUUGAUUUACUCAUGGGGAAGUCACAGUAAAUAAAUGCAUGCAUGUGCAAUAUAAUUUAAUCAUGUGAAUAUCAGCCUGUUCAUUCUCAAUGCACCGGAUCUGUUUCCAUUUAGUGCUAGUGCUA